rnacentral:rRNA from 1 species
AAUAGUGAUAUUAAGCAAAACCCAAAAAAGACAGUCUCAGUUCGGAUUGAAGGCUGAAAUUCGCCUUCAUGAAGCCGGAAUUGCUAGUAAUGGCAGGUCAGCAUACUGCCGUGAAUACGUUCCCGGGCCUUGUACACACCGCCCGUCACACCAUGAGAGUUGGGGAUACCCGAAGCCUGUGAGCUAACAGUAAUGAAGCAGCAGUCGAAGGUAGAAUCAAUGAUUGGGGUGAAGUCGUAACAAGGUACC